rnacentral:tRNA from 1 species
GCCUACGUGGUGUAAUGGUCAGCAUACUCGGCGCGUAUUCGAGAGGUCCAAGGUUCGAGUCCUGUUGAGGGCA